AGCGACUCCUGCGCAAGCGCAGAGUGAAGGGCCGGGAACAGUGGAGGGUGCGAGGAAGACAAUGGGGGAGGACCCUGAGGCGGCCUCUGUGAGCCGACAGGAACACGUGGUCGAUCAGAGAGAGACUCGAGGUUCGUGAACGGAUGGGGAGGACCCUGAAAAGCACUGUGGAAUACAGGUUUCUAGUAACUUCAAAAUCACAUCAUUUGGACUGGCAGGGUCUUUGUGACUUGUACCUUGUGCGGACCUCCUACUCAUCCUGUGACUAAGAACACUGAACUUCCUGGGGUUACAGCCCACAGGUCUCAGCCUCAUUUCAUCCAGCCCCUAUUCAAGAUGGAGUCGCUCUGGUUCAAAUGCCUCUGACACUAGUAAGGAUCACAGGUGGCAUCAACAGGUUUGGAGCAAACCUGAGUGUCUCCCGGUUGGUCACAUCUCAACUGACGAAAUCCACGACCAGCAGAGAGCAGCCUCCUUGCCCCCUGUGCUCACUGAGUCAUCCAGCCCAUUUUGACCAAGAUUAUGUGAGUUGCUGGAGCAGAGGUUGGUUGAGGG
rnacentral:lncRNA from 10 species